AGAAGUUGCUUCAAAUGAUUCGAGGAACCCGCCAUUUCCGGAUUGCGAGACAUUUUUGGGACACCCUGUAUAUCCAUCGACAUCAGAAUAUUUUCACGCUAUCUAAAGGAUUUUACACUGUGUGAAGGGCAUCGACGAGGAGCAGGCCAGGUUCAAAGUGAACGAUCCCGUGCAACAAGCGGAGCUGCGGAUCAGGAAGCUACAGGCGUACAUCGUGAAGCUCUACUUGGCACGGAUGGCUUGCGACAAGGACUUCCUGCAACGUUUGUCGGAGCAGUCGGAGAUUCUAGACCAUCCUAACAAGGAAUCGGUCGAAUUGCUGCGUUAUCGCGCGACGAGGAAUUACAAGAGGGCGUUUUUAGGACACUCUGUAUAUCGUUUGCGUCCGCGGCGCCGUUCCCAGAAAACAAGCAACGAAUGGAGAGCGGGGAAACCGCGGGAACGGAAUUGCAACGGGUCGCUGGUUCCACGGUGCUCAGAAUUUUCGACGUUUCUAAUUAUUUGUUCGCAUGUUGCCGUUUACACUGAGCACGUUUCAGUAGCUUUUGAAAAGCGUUCGCUUCGAUUGCUUUCGGAAAUUGAUUAUUGAACUCGUUGCGUUACGAAUUCAAGCUUCGAAGUCUUUCGAACUUCGCGAACUGCGAUACGGUUUCAUUUUGUUACUGAUUCGCUGAAACUCGAUACAAUAAAUUAUCCUUAACUGA